GUAGGUGAUACAUCUGAUUUCAUAUACUGCUUUAGUAAAAAAUAAUAUUUUCCAGGGCUCUGGCUCUCACCUGAGACCAUUGUCAACGCAUAUGCAGGACG